rnacentral:rRNA from 1 species
AGAGUUUGAUCCUGGCUCAGAUUGAACGCUGGCGGCAUGCCUUACACAUGCAAGUCGAACGGUAACGCGGGGCAACCUGGCGACGAGUGGCGAACGGGUGAGUAAUAUAUCGGAACGUGCCCAGUAGUGGGGGAUAGCCCGGCGAAAGCCGGAUUAAUACCGCAUGAGACCUGAGGGUGAAAGCGGGGGACUCGCAAGAGCCUCGCGCUAUUGGAGCGGCCGAUAUCAGAUUAGCUAGUUGGUGGGGUAAUGGCCUACCAAGGCGACGAUCAGUAGUUGGUCUGAGAGGACGGCCAGCCACACUGGGACUGAGACACGGCCCAGACUCCUACGGGAGGCAGCAGUGGGGAAUUUUGGACAAUGGGCGAAAGCCUGAUCCAGCAAUGCCGCGUGAGUGAAGAAGGCCUUCGGGUUGUAAAGCUCUUUCAGUUGAGAAGAAAAGAUCGCGACUAAUAAUCACGAUUCAUGACGGUAUCGACAGAAGAAGCACCGGCUAACUACGUGCCAGCAGCCGCGGUAAU